GACGAACGCUGGCGGCGUGCUUAACACAUGCAAGUCGAACGGAAAGGCCCUGCUUUUGUGGGGUGCUCGAGUGGCGAACGGGUGAGUAACACGUGAGUAACCUGCCCUUGACUUUGGGAUAACUUCAGGAAACUGGGGCUAAUACCGGAUAGGAGCUCCUGCUGCAUGGUGGGGGUUGGAAAGUUUCGGCGGUUGGGGAUGGACUCGCGGCUUAUCAGCUUGUUGGUGGGGUAGUGGCUUACCAAGGCUUUGACGGGUAGCCGGCCUGAGAGGGUGACCGGCCACAUUGGGACUGAGAUACGGCCCAGACUCCUACGGGAGGCAGCAGUGGGGAAUAUUGCACAAUGGGCGGAGGCCUGAUGCAGCAACGCCGCGUGCGGGAUGACGGCCUUCGGGUUGUAAACCGCUUUCGCCUGUGACGAAGCGUGAGUGACGGUAAGGGGUAAAGAAGCACCGGCUAACUACGUG
rnacentral:rRNA from 1 species